rnacentral:rRNA from 1 species
UGCAGUCGAGCGGAACGAGUUAUCUGAACCUUCGGGGAACGAUAACGGCGUCGAGCGGCGGACGGGUGAGUAAUGCCUAGGAAAUUGCCCUGAUGUGGGGGAUAACCAUUGGAAACGAUGGCUAAUACCGCAUAAUGCCUACGGGCCAAAGAGGGGGACCUUCGGGCCUCUCGCGUCAGGAUAUGCCUAGGUGGGAUUAGCUAGUUGGUGAGGUAAUGGCUCACCAAGGCGACGAUCCCUAGCUGGUCUGAGAGGAUGAUCAGCCACACUGGAACUGAGACACGGUCCAGACUCCUACGGGAGGCAGCAGUGGGGAAUAUUGCACAAUGGGCGCAAGCCUGAUGCAGCCAUGCCGCGUGUGUGAAGAAGGCCUUCGGGUUGUAAAGCACUUUCAGUCGUGAGGAAGGUGGUAGUGUUAAUAGCACUAUCAUUUGACGUUAGCGACAGAAGAAGCACCGGCUAACUCCGUGCCAGCAGCCGCGGUAAUACGGAGGGUGCGAGCGUUAAUCGGAAUUACUGGGCGUAAAGCGCAUGCAGGUGGUUUGUUAAGUCAGAUGUGAAAGCCCGGGGCUCAACCUCGGAAUAGCAUUUGAAACUGGCAGACUAGAGUACUGUAGAGGGGGGUAGAAUUUCAGGUGUAGCGGUGAAAUGCGUAGAGAUCUGAAGGAAUACCGGUGGCGAAGGCGGCCCCCUGGACAGAUACUGACACUCAGAUGCGAAAGCGUGGGGAGCAAACAGGAUUAGAUACCCUGGUAGUCCACGCCGUAAACGAUGUCUACUUGGAGGUUGUGGCCUUGAGCCGUGGCUUUCGGAGCUAACGCGUUAAGUAGACCGCCUGGGGAGUACGGUCGCAAGAUUAAAACUCAAAUGAAUUGACGGGGGCCCGCACAAGCGGUGGAGCAUGUGGUUUAAUUCGAUGCAACGCGAAGAACCUUACCUACUCUUGACAUCCAGAGAACUUUCCAGAGAUGGAUUGGUGCCUUCGGGAACUCUGAGACAGGUGCUGCAUGGCUGUCGUCAGCUCGUGUUGUGAAAUGUUGGGUUAAGUCCCGCAACGAGCGCAACCCUUAUCCUUGUUUGCCAGCAAAUAAUGUCGGGAACUCCAGGGAGACUGCCGGUGAUAAACCGGAAGAAAGGUNGGGAACAACGUCAAGUCAUCAUGGCCCUUACAAGUAGGG